rnacentral:lncRNA from 1 species
AUGCGGCGAGGGCUGAUAGCUCUUCCUCUUCGGCAGCUCAGUAGGGUCGUCCAGCCUUCAGCAAGGCUCAGCCAGCGGACGCCAGUCCCGGGAGAGGCGAUUCCUGCGGCUGCUGGAGAGGCCCGGUGGCUGCCGCAUUUCUGCCGUCUAGUCGCCCGCUCCGUGCGAUACAACCCGAGCUCCCUGACGUCCAAGGAGAUUUUUCCUAUCAACACUCUGAAGGCCAGAAGACAGAACAUUUUCCCAGACGGGAAAUCCAGAUUCAGAAUCGAAAAAACCCCAAGAAAAAAGGUUGAUAGGGGAGGUUCUCUUGGGGAUCAGCCGCCACCCUGGACUCCCAAGAGAGAUCGCCUCCGGACUGAGCGCAGAAGAUGCUGCCGCAGAUCUCCCUCCCUGCCGUCUCCAGCCGCCGCCGCCGCCGCCGCCGCCGUGCCUGCGCCUGCAAACAGACACACACACACAUACACACUCACACAGCGGACUCUGCCGUUGCUGCUGCCGCCGCCUCCCUCCACCGCCGAGGCUCGCCUUUCACUGCGACAGCUCCAAUCGACCCCGCCUCUCGUCCAGACCACGCCUCCAAGCCCCGCCUCCAUCUCGCCCCUCCUGCCCCGGCCCGAACGACGCGAGGCCAUUGGCCCAGAAGCCUCAGGCCCCGCAGGGAGCUGGGCCACGCCCCUCCAUUCCAAUGGCCGGCGCCGUGCGUCCCCCGGAAUGGUCGCACCCGCACAAAGCGGAGGGAGAGGAGAAAGGAAGGCGGACAUUGGUUGCUUCGGAAGGAUUCCCGUUGGGCCGCGGCCGUCCAUUGGUUGCUUCCUCGCACUUGCUGGACCCAGGAGAGGCAGGACCGCACCCCCCACCUUGAAUCCGACCAGCGCCAGCUGGACCACGCAUCUCCAGUGCUUCACCCCCCAGCAAAGGGACAUGGGGCGGGGCUAGGCGCAGGGACUGAACUCAUUGGCGGGUGACCUCCCCCACCCCUUCAAUUCCUAACCCAGAUUGGUGGAGAGCUGCAUACCUAGUCCCUGGGGGUCGGGCUGGGUGGCCCCCUAGGUUUCUAGAAGAGGAAUGGAUGGCAGGACUGGUGCCCGCCCCGCACCCAGUGGGAUGGUGUGGGCAUGGCCUGAGGCCAGGGUGGUGUGACCUGGAGACUGGACCACUGCCCUUAACGGAAAGUCUAGCUAGAGCCACAUCUACCCCUGUCCCGUGCACACGCAUCUUGUGUCCCGGACAGCGCAGCUGUCUAGGAGGGGCCACACCACUAACCCCUUCUAGACCCACCAGUCACCCUAAGCCCCCGCCAGCACAGCUGCCCAGCUUCCACACCACUACAGCACUGCCCCAUGGAGAUAUCCAUGCCUCCAAACGACGUGGCAGUGGCCACAUCAUUAAGCCCGCCUUUUCUUCCCCUUCUAAUACAUCCACCGCCAGCCCCAACACAAUUUCCCAGCUAAGGUCACACCAUUAACCCCUUCUCAGAAAUAAACGCACUCUGUGCACCCUGUGACA